UUCUAUUACAUAUUCUUUAAUAAAAUAAUAUUAUAUGUAAAUUUAAAAUAUUUAUUUAUUUUUUCUGUUAAUCAACUUUUUCAAAAUGCUAUUUACACUAAAAAUGGAGCUCAAACAGGUCAUGAAAUAAGCACAAAAGGGGCCCAAUGAAAUUGUUUAUGAAUAUUUGAUAUGUGAAAAUUACACGCUCCUAGGCAUUUUAAAUUCACAAUCCAAAAUUCAGGUGAAAAGGUUUUAUAACUAGAAAUUAGGUAUUGAACAAAUAAUUAAAUAUUAAUUAUUUUAAUUACUGCUAAUAAUAAAAUAUUUAAGUAUAUUAAGUAUGUAAGGCGUGUUUCCUUAAAUAUCGUAAUUUAAAUUAUACGUUAUGUUAACUUCCAUUAUUAUCCAAAUCACUUCUCUCUCAAACUCCUAUGCUGUUCAUCUUCAUCUCUUCCAUUAUCUAGUGAAAACCGAAGAACCCCGAAGUCGAAGUAAAAUGGCAAAAGUGAAAGGUGCGGAAAGGGGAAUCAAGAUAGAAUAGACAUCACAAAGAAGAAGUAAGAGGAAGAGUGAGGAGAGCUCCAAACAAAAGUGCCCUCGAACAAGGUAAUUUUGAUUUUUAUUUAUUUAUUUAUUUAUUUUUAAUUUGAGUUAUAUGUAUGUAUUCAAAAAUUGAUGGGUAAGAAGUAUUGAAAAUGCAUUGAACAUUUGUGACCUUUAUUUGGUUCAAUUUCAUUAAUGAUUGGAAUGGGUUAUGGUUUUGAUUUGAAUCUUUUGUUUUACGAAAAUUUAUUUAUUUAUUUUUUUAAUUUUAUGAAGAUAAAGAGUCCAUAUAUUACCAUGAUAUCCGAAUGAUAUAGAGAGAAUGAGUGGAUAAGUUGUAAAAAAUCAAGCAAGUGGGUUGAGCUUCUAGGAGUGGGACAGAAUUGCAGAAGGUGUGAAGGGCGGGGUAGGGUAGUGAUGAAAUUUUGAAAUACACAGAUGGGUUGGGAGUGAUAGAGUUUAUUAGUUUCCUUCCAAUUUGUAACUUGAUUGCAUAGGAGUACAUAUAUGUGACCAAUUGAAAACAUUAUGUGUGACUUGAUGUUGUGUAUCUUUUUCUUAGUAUGUGAUUCAUAUAUACUGUGUCAUUUCGAACAAGUAUUUCACAUUGUGACAUUUCAACUACUUAAUCCAGGUCUAUAUUGUGUUGUUCCUCAAUAAUAAUUGUGGGAUAUUGGUAAUUUUAUAUGCCUUAUACAUCCUCCAUGAAGGCAGACAUUCCAUACUGACUACAUUUAAUACUGGCAAGUGUAGAAUGGAUAUUGCUACACUACUCUAUAAAUAUCAGAAGAUUUAUAUGAAGCAAGUGAAGUAGACUACAAAAGGGAAGGGGUUUGUUAUAGAGUGAAACUUAAAAUUACAUUUGUAAAUGAAGUUGAUGAUUAGAUUUGUAAGUUUUAUGAAUAUUGUACUCCAGAUAUUUGUCUCUUUUAAUAUUUUAUGCUUAAUGGAAAUGAUUGUAAUGAAUAUUAACUUGUGGGUGUAAGGUCUGAUUUGCAAUUCAUAAAUGCAACAUGUUUCAAUUAAUAAUACAUCGUUCUUUGGUACAUAUUAUUACUGUCAGUUUGGUGGAAAUAUCAUAGAUUUGUAUACACGGGUCUAAUGUGUGCUGUGGUGGGAAUUAUAACUAUUUAUGUUUUUCUGAUGUCUGGUGUGAUUCUCC
rnacentral:lncRNA from 1 species